rnacentral:rRNA from 1 species
GAUGAACGCUGGCGGCGUGCCUAAUACAUGCAAGUCGAGCGAACGGACGAGAAGCUUGCUCCUCUGAUGUUAGCGGCGGACGGGUGAGUAACACGUGGAUAACCUACCUAUAAGACUGGGAUAACUUCGGGAAACCGGAGCUAAUACCGGAUAAUAUUUUGAACCGCAUGGUUCAAAAGUGAAAGACGGUUUUGCUGUCACUUAUAGAUGGAUCCGCGCUGCAUUAGCUAGUUGGUAAGGUAACGGCUUACCAAGGCAACGAUGCGUAGCCGACCUGAGAGGGUGAUCGGCCACACUGGAACUGAGACACGGUCCAGACUCCUACGGGAGGCAGCAGUAGGGAAUCUUCCGCAAUGGGCGAAAGCCUGACGGAGCAACGCCGCGUGAGUGAUGAAGGUCUUCGGAUCGUAAAACUCUGUUAUUAGGGAAGAACAAAUGUGUAAGUAACUGUGCACGUCUUGACGGUACCUAAUCAGAAAGCCACGGCUAACUACGUG